UACAGAGGGGGCAAGCGUUGUUCGGAAUUACUGGGCGUAAGGGGCGCGUAGGCGGCCCGCUAAGUCGAACGUGAAAUCCCCGAGCUCAACUCGGGAACUGCGUCCGAUACUGGCGGGCUUGAAUCCGGGAGAGGGAUGCGGAAUUCCAGGUGUAGCGGUGAAAUGCGUAGAUAUCUGGAGGAACACCGGUGGCGAAGGCGGCAUCCUGGACCGACACUGACACUGAGGAGCGAAAGCCAGGGGAGCAAACGGG
rnacentral:rRNA from 1 species